GCUUCCAACAAAAAGGAAUUAACAUUUAAAAUUUUGAAGAACAGGAUAAGAAAUACAUGAAUAACCACAUACAUUAUUCCUACCAGUUUUUACAAUGGUAGAGUACUUAAAAUUACAGCUUCCAGGAUGCACAUCACAUUUAUAACUGAACUCUUCUAUUAUAGCGACAGAAUGGUAGGUAAAUACUACCAGAAGAAGGGAAAUAAAUUAGCUUAAUAUCUAAGAUUUAU
rnacentral:misc_RNA from 1 species